rnacentral:lncRNA from 10 species
AACAACUCAAAACUUGGUGACUUCAGGCAAUGAUGAUUUAUUAUUUCUCAUAAGUCUGCGGGUUGGGUGGGUGCUUAGCUGGUUGGUUCUUCUGAUGACCUCCUCUGGAGCAUUUCUUCAUCUAAAGACAUUCAGAAGGUUGGCAAGGGCUGAAGGAUCUGAGACAGCCUUAUUCAGAUAUGCAGGGCCUUGCUGCUAUUUGGCUAGCCCCUCUUUCUCUCUCUCCACAUGGAAUCUCAUCACAGGGGGGCCCAGUCCAGCCACUGCAAAUGGAGCAUUCUAAUAGGGCAAAGGAAGAAGCUCGGGAGCUUUUUGAGGCCUAGAAUUUUGAAUUCAUACAACGUCGCCUGCCACAUUUUCUUACUCAAAACAAGAUGCAAGUUCAGUCCGGAUUCAAGAACAAAAUUUUCUCUGGAAAUUCAACACAUAAAAAGUAGUCCCGGCAUGGAUGAAGCUGAUAUGGGAAGCCUGAAGCUUUUCCUCUUCAUUUUCUUCCUGAUUUGUGUCUCCUCAUCUCUUAAGACUCACUGAUGAAUUCCAGCACCUUAUAGAAAAGAGAUGAAAACUGGUAUUGUAAAGGAGUACUAUUGUUGAGACUUCUGGCAAUGAAGACAGGAAUUAGGGAGAAUAAAGACAAUUUCAGGUGGCUAGAUCUCAUUAGAUGCAUGGUUAUCAAACGCAAGCAUAAGAUAACAAAGAUAAGAAAGAUAAGAAAUUUUGAUGGUUUAACUGAAUAUCCGAUUGAAUAAGAAUAGAGGUUUAUUUCAUAAUAAACUAGAUGUCAUAUAUAUCCAUCCUUUUCUCUAACGAGAGAUGCUAAUUUCAACAAUGGCUGUUAAAGUGCCAAGAGGCAGAAUUGGGAAGGGUUCUCCGGGCAGUGGGCAUGUUGCUGGAAGCAGCUGCAUAGCAAUGUACAUGGUUGAAAACACAAUUCAUUGUCUCAAAGGCUGGCAAUAUGAUCCCUUGGAAUGUGCUCACUUGCUAAUCUUUUAAAGUGUAUGUGUGUGUGUGUCUGUGCAUUUGUGUGUCAUGCUAUUUUUAAUCAAGAUUCUAGACAAUGCCAUACAGAGCCAUUACUAUUAUGCACUCAGUAUAAAUUUAUUCUGCUUAAUUAUAUGAGAAUAAGUUUAGCCAGAUAAGCUAAUAUUAAUUAUAUCACAUAUUGUUGUCUAAAAA